rnacentral:rRNA from 1 species
CCUACGGGUGGCAGCAGUGAGGAAUAUUGGUCAAUGGGCGGGAGCCUGAACCAGCCAUGCCGCGUGAAGGCGAGUGCCCUACGGGCGUUAAACUUCUUUUGUGCGGGAGCAAUAAGGGCCACGCGUGGCCCGAUGAGAGUACCGCACGAAUAAGCAUCGGCUAACUCCGUGCCAGCAGCCGCGGUAAUACGGGGGAUGCGAGCGUUAUCCGGAUUUAUUGGGUUUAAAGGGUGCGUAGGCGGCGCUUCAGGUCAGCGGUGAAAUACCGGGGCUCAACCCCGGGGCUGCCGUUGAAACCGGAGCGCUAGAAUUCCGAUGCCGUCGGAGGAAUGUGUGGUGUAGCGGUGAAAUGCAUAGAUAUGACGAAGAACCCCGAUUGCAAAGGCAGCUUGCUGCAGCGGAACUGACGCUGAUGCUCGAAAGCGCGGGUAUCGAACAGGAUUAGAUACCCUUGUAGUC